rnacentral:rRNA from 1 species
UGCCAGACUCCUACGGGAGGCAGCAGUGAGGAAUAUUGGUCAAUGGUCGGGAGACUGAACCAGCCAAGCCGCGUGAGGGAUGACGGUCCUAUGGAUUGUAAACCUCUUUUGUCAGGGAGCAAAGGGCGCCACGUGUGGCGUUUUGCGAGUACCUGAAGAAAAAGCAUCGGCUAACUCCGUGCCAGCAGCCGCGGUAAUACGGAGGAUGCGAGCGUUAUCCGGAUUUAUUGGGUUUAAAGGGUGCGUAGGCGGACGCUUAAGUCAGCGGUAAAAUUGCGGGGCUCAACCUCGCCGAGCCGUUGAAACUGGGUGCCUUGAGUGGGCGAGAAGUACGCGGAAUGCGUGGUGUAGCGGUGAAAUGCAUAGAUAUCACGCAGAACUCCGAUUGCGAAGGCAGCGUACCGGCGCCCAACUGACGCUGAAGCACGAAGGCGUGGGGAUCGAACAGGAUUAGAUACCCUAGUAGCA